rnacentral:rRNA from 1 species
AUGAUCCAUGAGCGCUUCCAAGAACUCCUUGGUGAGAAGAGAGCGCGUGCAUGCACCCUGAACUGGGCUGCACUGGAUUUGCCGAGUCUGAAUGCCCAGGGCCUGGACAACCCUUUCUCUGAAGAUGAAGUGUGGGCGGCAGUAUGCUCCUCACCAGCGGAAAAAGCACCGGGGGCGGACGGUUUUUCAGGAUGCUUCUUCAGAUCAUGCAGGCAAACAAUAAAAGAAGACGUGAUGGCAGUGUUCCACAAAUUCCAUAGCUUGGCUGCGGGUGACUUUGUGGCUAUCAACAAGGCUCUGAUUGUGCUCUUGCCAAAGAAAAAUGGUGCAACCCAAGUAGGGGAUUAUCGCCCAAUAAGCCUCAUUCACUCGGUGGCAAAGUUGAUCGCCAAGGUGCUAUCGAUCAGGAUCUCAAGUGUCAUGAGCCAGCUUAUUUCACCAGUGCAGAGUGCUUUUCAAAAGAAAAAAGGAAUUCAUGACCGUUUCUUAUAUGUCUGCAACACAGUGAAGCACUUACACAGCAAAAACAAGCUAGCUCUGCUACUCAAACUAGACAUCGCUAGGGCCUUCGAUAGUGUUUCAUGGGAGUACCUGCUUGAGCUGAUGCCAUAGCUUGGAUUCCCGUCGAGGUGGCGAGACUGGAUCGCCCUGCUCUUGUCGACAUCAUCCUCCUCCUGUCUGCUGAAUGGCAUUGAAGGUGACAACAUUCGUCACAUGAAGGGCCUGCGCCAGGGUGAUCCACUAUCCCCCCUUCUUUUCAUCCUCGCAAUUGACCCGCUUCAGAGACUGUUUGAGGCCGCGACGGCGGCUGGCGAACUACAGCUGCUCCCUGCCCAGGCUGCUCGACUACGCGUUAGUUUGUACGCCGAUGAUGCGGUGGUUUUCGCCAAUCUGCAGCGUGAGGAGGUCGGCAAGAUCCUAGGGCUACUGCAGGGUUUUGGAAACGCUACCAGCCUGCACCUCAACCCAGCAAAAUCCUCAGUGGCUCCAAUACGAUGCGACGGAAUCGAUCUUCAGCAGGUUCUGCAAAAUUUUGGAGGGCAGAUAGUCGGCUUCGCCAUUACAUAUAUAGGCAUUCCAAUUACCCUUGGGAGAAUUAGACUAGUGCACAUCCAGUACAUCCUGGAUAGAAUUAGAGCCCGGCUGGCAGGUUGGAAGGGACGGCUGCUACCGAUCGCGGGCCGGCGAGUGCUUGUCAGGAGCGUGCUCUCAGCGCUCCCUGUGUUUGCACUUGCUGUAUUGCGCGUGCCGUGA